rnacentral:rRNA from 1 species
CUUGAACGCUGGCGGCAGGCCUAACACAUGCAAGUCGAACGAGUGGCGGACGGGUGAGUAAUGUCUGGGAAACUGCCUGAUGGAGGGGGAUAACUACUGGAAACGGUAGCUAAUACCGCAUACCAUCAGAUGUGCCCAGAUGGGAUUAGCUAGUAGGUGGGGUAACGUCGCACCUAGGCGACGAUCCCUAGCUGGUCUGAGAGGAGGACCAGCCACACGGGAACUUGGACACGGUCCAGACUCCUACGGGAGGCAGCAGUGGGGAAUAUUGCGCAAUGGGCGCAAGCCUGACGCAGCCACGCCGCGUGUAUGAAGAAGGCCUUCGGGUUGUAAAGUACUUUCAGCGGGGAGGCGUUACCCGCAGAAGAAGCACCGGCUAACUCCGUGCCAGCAGCCGCGGUAAUAC